CUUUCUCCGCCGGCGACCGGCGCGACGGGUGAGUAACACGUAUCGCCAACCUCGCCCUGUCGAGGGGACAACCGCCGAAAGGCGGGCUAAACCCGCGUACAUGCCACCGGGGCAUCCCGGAGGCAGGAAAGGCUUCGGCCGGACAGGGAUGGGCAUGCGGCGCAUUAGGCAGUAGGCGGGGUAACGGCCCACCUAACCGACGAUGCGUAGGGGUUCUGAGAGGAAGGUCCCCCACACUGGUACUGAGACACGGACCAGACUCCUACGGGAGGCAGCAG
rnacentral:rRNA from 1 species